UUUUCGUUGUUCUACUAUGUAAGAUGCUUGUAAUGACUUUCUUAUCUCGUGAUGGACUAUAAAUGAAUGCAUGAAAAAUAUUAAGCAAAAUAUCCCAACGCCGUGACUCACACUGGCGGACUGUGGCUCCGAUCACGCGUAAUAUUUAACGCCCUGUCCAUAAAAAGACGGGUGAAACAUGAGGACUUCGCUAGGAGUUUGACAGGAUCUGGUGCGUUACUGUUAGUAUGAUCGCACCCCUUCCAUUCCGUGUUGUAAAUAAAUAUACCCCUUCUCCUUCUCUCCCCCUCCUGUCAUUUAUUUCGCUAUGCGUGCACAAUACACCUCUGUUUCUAGUUCUAAUAUCAAACAAAAUGUCCAAGCACCUCG
rnacentral:lncRNA from 1 species